CUGCUGGUUCUGGUCGGACGGCAGCCUGUUGGCGGCGUUUUCUUCCAGCAGGGGGUGCUCCAGCUCGUCUCUGUUCUCCAUUAAAGACGAACCGCUCCAGAGGCCGCAUCAACAGGCAAACCGCCGGGUCCAGAGGAAAAAAGCACAUGACGAAUUCAUCCCAGCACCUGAAAGUUGUGUUGGAUUAUUGGAGAAGCUUUGGUCUCAAAUUUUGUUCUCAAACAGUAAAAAGUGGCAAUAAUGGUUAUUGAUAAAUUAGACGCCCUUGUUUCUCUUUAGCUGCAGCAGAAACAGUAAAAAAUAUUUCCUUAGCUUUACUUUCUGACGCUUCAUAAAGACGUAACAACCAGGAUUAGUUUUGGGAAUAGAUUUUAGCAUUUAGGUGUGAAAAAAUAAGGCUACAGAAGUAAAAUCCAGCGGUGAACAUUGUCUUGAUGUUCUUCAGGAAACAAAAGUCGUCUGGUUUUGAUUUAUGGCUUCAGAGUGACAAAAACAACCCAGUUCCUUAAGACUCCGUCCGGCUGCCCAACAAACACGGUGACGUCUGUGAAGACAAAAACACCACAAACAUUUAGAUUUCACAUUUUAACACCAAAUUUCAAUAGAUACAGAUAAAGAAAUUAGUUUUACUAUGAAGCAAUUACAACCCAUGAAAGUAAUCACAAAUUUACCAUCAGUGGUGGGACAAUGUUAUUAUAGUUAACUAAAACUAAUGAAAUAACAAAACUGAAAUUGAGAAAAACCCUUAAUCUGAAAUGUUGUAUCAUAUUUCUAAGACUUUAUCACAACUCGAUGAACUUCUAACAUUUCUGCAGCUAAAUGAGUUGGAUUAGAUUCCUAUUCACCCUUUGCAACUACGUCACUUCCAGGCGCCAUGAUGGACGUCGGAAGUGAGAAUCCGAACUACGGACAACUACGCCACUUAAUCAUUCAAGGCGCCAUGUUUUACGUUUUUAAGUGAGGAUCCGGAGUAUUGAACUGAUCGACUGAAAUUGUUUUCCCAAGCUGUCUUUGCCAGUUUUUUCAUGGCUUCUUCUUGUUCGAGUCGAGCUAAUUUGUCUGUGAAUGUAACACGCCUGGUUGGGGCUAUUGGACGGAGGUAUUUACAAAAGCUGGAAACGGUUAGCUUAGAAACAGAGCCAUACUUCCUCCCUCCUGACGUGUUGAUCAAAUUAAUGACUUUGUCUGAAUUCACACCACAUGAUUUAUGUCACUGUGUCAUAAACAGCGUUUCCCCUUAAACCGGAUCAACAUUAGAAACGUACAAAAGACGA